rfam:Schistosoma mansoni strain Puerto Rico chromosome 1, complete genome
AUCCAGCUGACGAAUCCCGACUAGGACGAAACGUGCGUCCUGAAU